CCCCAUCCAGGCAUCCACGGUGGCGUGGGCAAGUGAAAGCGGUCGCAGUAUGAUGCGACCCAUUUCCUCUCCGGGAACCAGACCUCUCGACUUCCCGUGCUCCCGUUAUCUCCUUGGCCAACGCCGCGCCUUGCAUCCGCCCUCCGGCUAUGGAUUUCUGCCUGCCCGCAGCGGUAAGCGAUCCACCAUUCUGCUCUCUCUUUCCCCUUGACCUGCUGCUUUUCUUUUUCACCUCUUUCUUGUGCUGAAUUAGUGAAAUAUUGCUAAACAGCGGAACUGCUCCGAAGAAUUUAAUUUAUUAAAAUUUAUAGAAGAGGAUGCUGAUUGAAUUACUUUCAGCUUGUGGAAGGAAAUGAUUCUAUUCAAGGGGAAUAGCAAAGGCUGUUUCCUUUUACUUGUUCAUACGGCUACUAAUUUUGUGCGGGUGUCGCAAGAUGGUGGCGACCAUUCUCAGUUGCAGAACUGAUGAAACUGCAUCAACGCUUUGGGUUUAACUAGACAUCGAUAAACUACCUGGGAGUUUGCUUGAAAUCAUGCUGUCAGGAGAGACUGCUUUUAUUGUGUAGUUAUGGGGCAUGGCCCAUUUUUCUCGAAGAAAAGGUGUCAAAGAAGCCAGCAGAAUUUAUUAAGUUUAUGAUCAGUGCAGAGAGUUUGUUCCUGACCCUGGGAAGGUCAGGUAGUAGGUAGAGCUGAAGAAGCAAUAGGGGGACCAAAGAAAGCCUCUAUAUUUGCAUGUUAUGGCUUGAGGGAUCCAUGCAUACCUGUAUUGUUCAUUGACAUUUUUGGCGUUCAGUAUGUAAACCAAGUAUGAGGUUAUGUUGCAUAUUCCAUUAGGUGUAGAUGAUUACUUUUGAGGACUUGUGAAACCAAACAAGGCAUGCACUAUCUGUUAUUGUAGAAUAACUACAUCGGGUAUGAAUUUGAUAGUUAAGUUCAAUGUUGGUGGUUGAUAGAUGGGCUUGAUAAAAUUAUUUUUGAUGAAAAUAAGAUCAUUUCUAACUGAUGUUCUUAGAGAAAGUUUCUCACUGAUGGAUUAACAACGUCUAGGAUCCUCUCAACAGGCGAAAGGUAAUACACUUUCAACAUUUUAAUUUGCUUGCAUGCAAUUCGUUUUCCCAAGUACACCGACAAACAAAUUGAUAUUUCUUUGAAAGGGUCUACAUUUCUUCUCAUAACUGAGCAAGCCCACUGACAAACAAAUUGAUAUUUCUUUGAAAGAGUCUACAUUUCUUCUCAUAACUGAACAUUGGAAAUUGUAGGCAUACGUUCCAGGUUCUGGAAGUAGCAUUCGUGUCAGGAGAUGUAUGUCAAACAAGAAGAAUCGUGAAAUNNN
rnacentral:lncRNA from 1 species